UUCUUUAAUGAAGGAAAUAAUAUUGCUUUUUGCAAAUACACAUCACAGUAUCAACGCUACUAUUUUGUUACGUUUUGUUCCAAAAAUGUUGGACGUCUCUGGGGAGUUGCUUGUUAUGUCUUUACUUAUGGAGUUGUAUGGUUUGAUUUUGUUUCAUUCUCAGUUUAUUCUGAACUUGCCAAGAUUAAGAAAGGCAAAAGAGUUUGGGUGUUCUUAACAAGAUUUCAGAACGUUGCAGAAGUUAGAAAAUUCAUUCAAUGUGAAGUUAGAAAAUCCACAAUUCCAUUGUGACAGCAUGCCCUAAUUCAGAACUACGAACGAUCCAUGACGAUCCUUCGCGAUGCAGUGGUCUCAUGAAAUAAGGAAACGUAUUCGUGCUGGGAACACAUGCGGAUUUCGGACGAAUAAGUCUUGCUUUUAUUUUGUAGAUAAUAAUACUUUGUUUCAUAAUAAACGAUUUGUCAAGUGCCAUUUAUUUACUGGUAAUAAUGCAUGUUUCAGUCGG